GACGAACGCUGGCGGCGUGCUUAACACAUGCAAGUCGAACGGUGAAGCGCCUUCCUUUUUGGUGGGUGUGGAUGAGUGGCGAACGGGUGAGUAACACGUGAGUAACCUGCCCCCUUCUUCUGGAUAACCGCAUGAAAGUGUGGCUAAUACGGGAUAUUCUGGGUCUGUCGCAUGAUGGGUCUGGGAAAGAUAUUGUUUCGGUGGGGGAGGGGCUCGCGGCCUAUCAGCUUGUUGGGGGGGUGAUGGCCUACCAAGGCGGUGACGGGUAGCCGGCCUGAGAGGGUGGACGGUCACACUGGGACUGAGACACGGCCCAGACUCCUACGGGAGGCAGCAGUGGGGAAUAUUGCACAAUGGGCGCAAGCCUGAUGCAGCGACGCCGCGUGAGGGAUGGAGGCCUUCGGGUUGUGAACCUCUUUCGCCAGUGAAGCAGGCCUGCCUCGUUUGUGGGUGGGUUGACGGUAGCUGGAUAAGAAGCGCCGGCUAACUACGUG
rnacentral:rRNA from 1 species